AUUGAACGCUGGCGGCAGGCCUAACACAUGCAAGUCGAGCGAGCGGCGGACGGGUAAGGCAUGUAUGGGGGCUGCCCGAUGGAGGGGGGUACCUACAGGAAACGGUGGCUCAUACCGCAUACUGUCGGACAAGCCCUAUGGGAUUAGCUAGUAGGUAAGGUAAAGGCUUACCUAGGCGACGAUCCCUAGCUGGUCUGAGAGGAUGAGCAGCCACACUGGGACUGAGACACGGCCCAGACUCCUACGGAGGCAGCAGUGGGGAAUAUUGCACAAUGGGCGAAAGCCUGAUGCAGCCAUGCCGCGUGUAUGAAGAAGGCCCUCGGGUUGUAAAGUACUUUCAGUCGGGAGGCGUUACCGACAGAAGAAGCACCGGCUAACUCCGUGCCAGCAGCCGCGGUAAUAC
rnacentral:rRNA from 1 species